GACGAACGCUGGCGGCGUGGAUUAGGCAUGCAAGUCGAACGGUAUCAUCCUUUCGGGGGUGAGAGAGUGGCGAACUGGUGAGUAACACGUAGGUUAUCUACCCUCAAGACGGGGACAACCCAGGGAAACUUGGGCUAAUACCGGAUGUGAGCAACUUUUAGUUGUUUGAAAGGUGGCGUAAGCUGUCGCUUGGGGAUGAGCCUGCGUCCUAUUAGUUAGUUGGUGAGGUAACGGCUCACCUAGGCAAUGAUAGGUAGGCGGCCUUAACGGGUGGUCGCCCACACUGGGAUUGAGAUACGGCCCAGACUCCUACGGGAGGCAGCAGUCGAGAAUAGUCUACAAUGGUCGGAAGACUGAUAGUGCGACGCCGCGUGAACGAUGAAUCCCUUCGGGGUGUAAAGUUCUUUUAUAUGUGAGCAGUGCUUCUUAUAUUAACAGUAUGGGGAGAGAGAUAUUAGCAUAUGAAUAAGCAACGGCUAACUCCGUGCCCAGCCAGCCGCGGUAAUACG
rnacentral:rRNA from 1 species